CCUACGGGGGGCAGCAGUGGGGAAUAUUGCACAAUGGGGGAAACCCUGAUGCAGCGACGCCGCGUGGAGGAUGAAGGUUUUCGGAUUGUAAACUCCUUUUGUUAGAGAAGAUAAUGACGGUAUCUAACGAAUAAGCACCGGCUAACUCCGUGCCAGCAGCCGCGGUAUUACGGAGGGUGCAAGCGUUACUCGGAAUCACGGGGCGUAAAGAGCGCGUAGGCGGGAUAGCAAGUCAGAUGUGAAAGCCUAUGGCUUAAGGAUAGAACUGCAUUUGAAACUGUUAUGCUAGAGUGUGGGAGAGGUAGGAGGAAUGCGUGGUGUAGGGGUAAAAUCCAUAGAGAUCAAACAGAAUACUCAUUGCGAAGGCGACCUACGAGACCGUGACUGACGCUGAUGCGCGAAAGCGUGGGUAGCAAACAGGAUUAGAUACCCCUGUAGUC
rnacentral:rRNA from 1 species